rnacentral:rRNA from 1 species
GAUGAACGCUGGCGGCGUGCCUAACACAUGCAAGUCGAACGGAGUCCAGCCUUUAAGACCUUCGGGUCAAAGAGGGGAAGACUGAGUGGCGGACGGGUGAGUAACACGUGGGCAACCUGGCUCAUAGAGGGGGAUAACAGAGAGAAAUUUCUGCUAAUACCGCAUAAGCACACACUGCCGCAUGGCAGAGGGUGAAAAGAGAAUCGCUAUGAGAUGGACCCGCGUCUGAUUAGCCAGUUGGCAGGGUAAGAGCCUACCAAAGCGACGAUCAGUAGCCGAUAUGAGAGGAUGAACGGCCACAUUGGGACUGAGACACGGCCCAAAAUCCUACGGGAGGCAGCAGUGGGGGAUAUUGCACAAUGGGGGGAACCCUGAUGCAGCGACGCCGCGUGAGUGAAGAAGUAUUUCGGUAUGUAAAGCUCUAUCAGCAGGGAAGAUAAUGACAGUACCUGAAUAAGAAGCCCCGGCUAACUACGUG